rnacentral:rRNA from 1 species
CGCUGGCGGCGCGUCUUAAGCAUGCAAGUCGAACGGCAAGAUUAGUGCUUGCACUAAUCCUAGAGUGGCGGACUGGUGAGUAACGCGUGGGUGACGUACCCUUCUGAUGGGGAUAGCUACUAGAAAUAGUAGAUAAUACCGAAUACGAUUCCGUAAGUUAGAGGUGCGGAAUGAAAGGAGCUUCGGCUCCGCGGAAGGAACGGCCCGCGUACCAUUAGCUAGUUGGUGUGGUAACGGCAUACCAAGGCGAUGAUGGUUACCCGGCCUAAGAGGGUGAUCGGGCACAUUGGGACUGAGAUACGGCCCAGACUCCUACGGGAGGCAGCAGCUAAGAAUAUUCCGCAAUGGAGGAAACUCUGACGGAGCGACGCCGCGUGGAUGAGGAAGGCCGGAAGGUUGUAAAAUCCUUUUGGGCGCAAAGAAUAAGUACGCGAGGAAAUGCGCGUGCGGUGACGGUAGCGCCUGAAUAAGCAACGGCUAAUUACGUG